rnacentral:rRNA from 1 species
GACGAACGCUGGCGGCGUGCUUAACACAUGCAAGUCGAACGGAAAGGCCCCUUCGGGGGUACUCGAGUGGCGAACGGGUGAGUAACACGUGGGUAAUCUGCCCUGCACUUCGGGAUAAGCCUGGGAAACUGGGUCUAAUACCGGAUAGGACCUCGAGGCGCAUGCCUUGUGGUGGAAAGCUUUUGCGGUGUGGGAUGGGCCCGCGGCCUAUCAGCUUGUUGGUGGGGUGACGGCCUACCAAGGCGACGACGGGUAGCCGGCCUGAGAGGGUGUCCGGCCACACUGGGACUGAGAUACGGCCCAGACUCCUACGGGAGGCAGCAGUGGGGAAUAUUGCACAAUGGGCGCAAGCCUGAUGCAGCGACGCCGCGUGGGGGAUGACGGCCUUCGGGUUGUAAACCUCUUUCAGCAGGGACGAAGCGCAAGUGACGGUACCUGCAGAAGAAGCACCGGCCAACUACG